UACGUAGGGUGCAAGCGUUGUCCGGAAUUAUUGGGCGUAAAGAGCUUGUAGGCGGUUUGUCGCGUCUGCUGUGAAAUUUCGGGGCUCAACCCCGAACUUGCAGUGGGUACGGGCAGACUAGAGUGUGGUAGGGGAGACUGGAAGUUCCUGGUGUAGCGGUGGAAUGCGCAGAUAUCAGGAGGAACACCGAUGGCGAAGGCAGCUCGCUGGGACGGUACUGACGCUGAGGCGCGAAAGCGUGGGAGCGAACAG
rnacentral:rRNA from 1 species